UGGGGAAUAUUGCACAAUGGGCGAAAGCCUGAUGCAGCAACGCCGCGUGAGUGAUGAAGGCCUUCGGGUUGUAAAGCUCUGUCUUUUGGGACGAUAAUGACGGUACCAAAGGAGGAAGCCACGGCUAACUACGUGCCAGCAGCCGCGGUAAUACGUAGGUGGCAAGCGUUGUCCGGAUUUACUGGGCGUAAAGGAUGCGUAGGCGGAUUUUUAAGUGAGAUGUGAAAACCCUAAGNUUAACUUGGGGGACUGCAUUUCAUACUGGAAAUCUAGAGUGCGGGAGAGGANAAUGGAAUUCCUAGUGUAGCGGUGAAAUGCGUAGAGAUUAGGAAGAACACCAGUGGCGAAGGCGAUUCUCUGGACCGUAACUGACGCUGAGGCAUGAAAGCGUGGGUAGCAAACAGGAUUAGAUACCCUGGUAGUCCACGCCGUAAACGAUGAGUACUAGGUGUAGGAGGUAUCGACCCCUUCUGUGCCGCAGUUAACACAAUAAGUACUCCGCCUGGGAAGUACGAUCGCAAGAUUAAAACUCAAAGGAAUUGACGGGGUCAUAGCUG
rnacentral:rRNA from 1 species